GACGAACGCUGGCGGCGUGCUUAACACAUGCAAGUCGAACGGAAAGGCCCUGCUUUUGUGGGGUGCUCGAGUGGCGAACGGGUGAGUAACACGUGAGUAACCUGCCCUUGACUUUGGGAUAACUUCAGGAAACUGGGGCUAAUACCGGAUAGGAGCUCCUGCUGCAUGGUGGGGGUUGGAAAGUUUCGGCGGUUGGGGAUGGACUCGCGGCUUAUCAGCUUGUUGGUGGGGGAGUGGCGUACCAAGGCUUUGACGGGUAGCCGGCCUGAGAGGGUGACCGGCCACAUUGGAACUGAGAUACGGCCCAGACUCCUACGGGAGGCAGCGGUGGGGAAUAUUGCACAAUGGGCGGAAGCCUGAUGCAGCAACGCCGCGUGCGGGAUGACGGCCUUCGGGUUGUUAACCGCUUUCGCCUGUGACGAAGCGUGAGUGACGGUAAUGGGUAAAGAAGCACCGGCUAACUACGUG
rnacentral:rRNA from 1 species